rnacentral:rRNA from 1 species
CAGUAGCCGCGGUAAUACAGAGGAUGCAAGCGUUAUCCGGAAUGAUUGGGCGUAAAGCGUCUGUAGGUGGCUUUUCAAGUCCGCCGUCAAAUCCCAGGGCUCAACCCUGGACAGGCGGUGGAAACUACCAAGCUGGAGUACGGUAGGGGCAAAGGGAAUUUCCGGUGGAGCGGUGAAAUGUAUUGAGAUCGGAAAGAACACCAACGGCGAAAGCACUCUGCUGGGCCGACACUGACACUGAGAGACGAAAGCUAGGGGAGCAAGUGGGAUUAGAUACCCCCGUAGUCCCUGUCUCUUAUAC